AUGGAAACCUCACCAUCAACCUGAUCCUGAUGAACAUCCUUUUAAUCAAAACAAGAAUGAACCUGAUCCUGAUGAUUCUCAAGGUAAUCACCAUGAGGUGAUGGACAUCCUGAAUGGUGGGAUUCGCCCUGACAAAACCAUUGAUGAACCUGAUCCUGAUGAUUCUCAAGGUAAUCACCAUGAGGUGAUGGACAUCGUGAAUGGUGGGAUUUGCCCUGCCAAAACCAUUGAUGAACCUGAUCCUGAUGAUUCUCAAGGCAAUCACCAUGAGGUGAUGGACAUCGUGAAUGGUGGGAUUUGCCCUGCCAAAACCAUUGAUGAACCUGAUCCUGAUGAUUCUCAAGGCAAUCACCAUGAGGCGAUGGACAUCCUGAAUAUUGGGAUUUGCCCUGCCAAAACCAUUGACGAACCUGAUCCUGAUGAUUCUCAAGGCAAUCACCAUGAGGUGAUGGACACCCUGAAUGGUGGGAUUCGCGCUGACAAAACCUUUGACGAACCUGAUCCUGAUGAUUGUCUAGUAACUGAAAACAUUGAAGACCAUCUCCAUCUAAAAAAAGCUUAUAAAGAACCUGAUCCUGAUGAAUCUGAAACAAAUCAGGUUGUUCAGGCUGAGCCCGAUCCUGAUGAUGAUUUAGCAGCGUCAGAUGAAGUAUCUAGGAUGCAAAUUGAUGAACCAGAUCCAGAUGAUGAAGAACUACGGAGAAUCCAAGAUCCUGUUAGUGUUGUCUGCAGCCGCCUUCAGAAGGCUACUGAGACACUGAGAGCUGAAUUGA
rnacentral:lncRNA from 1 species